rnacentral:rRNA from 1 species
GACGAACCGUGCGAACGUUGUUCGGAUUCACUGGGCUUAAAGGGCGCGUAGGCGGACGGUCAAGUCAGGGGUGAAAUCUUUCAGCUCAACUGGAAAAGUGCCCUUGAUACUGAUCGUCUCGAGGGAGGUAGGGGCAUGUGGAACUUCCGGUGGAGCGGUGAAAUGCGUAGAUAUCGGAAGGAACGCCGGUGGCGAAAGCGACGUGCUGGACCUCUUCUGACGCUGAGGCGCGAAAGCUAGGGGAGCGAACGGG